CCACCUCUCACUUGGGUACGAUUCGUGGAUGAGAAAAAAAUUAGAAAACCCCUCGACACCAAUAGAGAGCUCCGCCGCUGCCGGCCGGGAUCCACGGCCGGCGUUGCUGCCGCGUGCUCACCAGCGCUGCCCCUAGAGAUGUGCUGCUUGACGAGCCGAAGCCCCCUACCGGUCGCGCUCCAGGUUCGUCCUCGACCACUGCCGCUCGACGCGUUCCAGGUUCGUCCUCGACCACCGCCGCUGGACGCGCGGCUGACCCGCCGCAGAUCCCGCCGGUCGGACGGGCCCCCGAGGCCUGCCGCUGGACGUGCUGCUUGAUGAGCCGACGCCCCCUACUGGUCACGCUCCAGGUUCGUCCUCGACCACCGCCGCUCGACGCGCGGCUGACCCGCCGCAAUCCCCGUGGUCGGACGGGCCGCCGAGGCCUGUCGCUGGACGUGUCGCCGAGGCCUACGGCUGGACGCACGACCUAAUUGGCCUUGGUCGACACCACUGGGUGUGACAAAGUCACUCUACCUGGGAUUGCAGCUAGCAGAUUCAAGUCUGCACGCAAGCUGUUUGUGCAGACAAGCAUUGAUAAUAGCAGCACUUGGUUUUGUUGAGUUUAGCAUGGAUAAGAGUUGGAUGGAGCAGUGAGGAAAGUCGAAAGAUGGUCAAGAUGCCAUCCAAAAGUCGAAGUUGAAUGGGACACACAGCUGAUUGGUUUGUGUACUUCUAAUUGAUUGCAUCAAGCUGGAACACUCUUUACAUUGUUGUCACAGCAGUAGGCAGUGUACCUGUGUGUUACAUUGUUGUCACAAAAGUAGGUAGUGUACCUGUGUGUUACAUUGUUGGCCCUGUGUUGGUGAUUGAUACUUUGAUGUCAUUUUCAAAUUUGUGAAGAUGUUCUGAUGCUUUACAUUAUUCGCUUGCACGAUGAUACUUCUAGCCGAUGCAAGCCUCUCAAUCUUGUUCUACUAUUGUAUAUGUGUGUUUGUACAAUGGUUGCAAAUUAGUGAGCUUGCUGUAACA